rnacentral:snoRNA from 1 species
CAGCCGCUGGUGAUGAGCAUCCUCCUGGCCUGCGGCGGCGCGCACCUGAUCAAUGACAUGAUCCAGGCCCUGCUGCCCUCGAUCUACCCGAUGUUGAAGACUGGCUAUGGCUUGAGCUUCACCCAAGUCGGCCUGAUCACGCUG